UCCACCGUGAGGUGGAAUCUGAAGGAAGUCGGCGGCAAACCUCCGGCCCGACGAACAGAAACCACAUAAGAGGCUAGCGGCAGUUGGAUGAGCUUGCAAUACAAAGCGAAGUCCUUGCUACCGAAGGCUGCCGAGAGGAGUAGGAAUCAGAUUCUACUCGAUUUUC
rnacentral:autocatalytically_spliced_intron from 1 species